AACUCUGGCACCGGCCUCGGGGCCUAGCGUUGGACGGUCAGCCGGAGGGACCAAGAGCUGCCGGCGGCCGGGCUGGUGUAGCGCUGACGCCGCCUCCUGCCCCGGGGAGGAACUGCAGCCUGUCGGAGCCAGUUCGCUCGCUUUCCUGCGCUAGAUCCUGGGGAGGUGAGGAGUGAGAAACACUGAUGAAGAGGAUGGCACAAAGCGCCAUGAUAAGUGGGAACUUUGCUGACUGGCCUUCCAAAGAGAUCUGUUAACUGCAGGUCUUCUGCUUGCUUGAUGGGGUAUGUCAGUUUCUAGCGAGAACUUGGGACGACAGAAAGAAGACCAAGGACUACCUCUUAGGUUUCUCCCUCUCCAGCUUUCAUUUUCAACUGUGCUCAAAUAAAUGUUGAACGUGUCUUUGAAAA